CCUCUGAGGAAACACUCUCACUCAUCACAGGCUACAUAGUUUUGGCGGGGCACUGACCGUAUCACCCAGGUCCAAGAGUGAGCAUGUGACCUAGGCUUGGCCAAUCAGAGAACUCCACCCUCCUGACCACAGUGAUUGGUUUAUAGAUGGGCAGGUGACACAUUUAAGCCAAUCAGAGCUAAUCCAGGAAGUUUCGUGGUACUCCAGGAAAGCGACUCUUGCCUCAGUGGAGGAGAGAGCUUGGAAGAGCUUGGAAGAGCACUGGAGAGUGGAAAGCCUGAAGAGAUGGACACAUACUGGAUCCUGAUGAUGCGGGUUGAGCACCUGCAAACUGUGCCAGAAGCCAAGUAUUUCUGAGCUUUGAAAUUGCUGACCCGCCCUCUCUGGACGUGUUCUGAUCCUCUGCUUCUCCUCCCUGCCAUGGACACCCUUCCCCCUGCCCUGCUCGGCCGUCUGCAAGUCCCUCUGCACCCCACAGACAGUGGCAAUCACCACCUUUCCUGUUUUCACGGCGUUUAAUGGCUUGUAACGCACUCGACUGCACACAAUCUCGGUGACUUCCGCAGGAGUUCCUGGAGCAAGGACUGGCUGUGCUGGAGCUCGAAGAAGCCCUGGGUGAGAACCGCUGAUCUACAUAGAGGAUGAAGCAGUUCAGGAUAUUUGGGAUGGUGUAAGAGGAGAAGGCACGACCCCGAACCGGCCAAGACCUCUGUUUGGCCGAUGGUCAGAUAGGCUGAUGUGGAGCAUGAGGCUUGAGGAGUUUACGGAACUCACUAGGAUCACAACUGCUAAGGAGCUGAGCUUGGAUCUGGACGUAGAUCAUUUGGCUCUGACAUAAACCCUGCAGCGCUAGGUGCUUCCUAUGCAAGGACGGGAGGAUGUUCUUGUAAGAACUGCAAAGGGGCCACUUGCAAAAGAUACGGAAAACAUCGUGGAGGCAGAACCCAAGUGACAGAAAUUAAGAGUUGGUGAUUCCAGUAGAUGCUGGAAGAGCGAACCGUGGACAUUCAGAGGACAGAGAGCUUCCAUCAUCAAGAUCAUCUCGUGGGCACAGAAUGGGCACCUCAGCUCUGGCCUUCAAGCUUCAAUUCCAGAAGAAGAAAGGGGGAGAAGGCAACAGAAGGGAGAAGCCGAGCCGACUCAGAGAAGGGAGAAAGCUAGGACCUCCUGACCCCUCAGGCCUGUUCCUGCCACGCCACUGCCUUGGAAUGUAGUAGGUAUGAAUCCCCCGGCUUACUAUGGACUCGUCAGAAACAGGAAGCAGCUCCUCCCAGGAACCCUUCUUUUUUAGAGAAGCUACUAUCACAGUGGCUAUGUGUCCAAAAUCCAGCCCCGUUUGUUUGAGACUUGUCCCACCAGGUCUGCCCCACUGGCUACGUGCUAGAUGGUCCCACUCACCUGGCCCAAACGACUGUACCAAGGGAAGGACUCUGACCCAAGCAGCGACAUUGGGUCCCCCAGUGCAAUUUGGAUGUGGAAUGACAAGAUGCUAGUCAGUCUCUGGUGGCCCUAAACUAGGAAGGGAUGUGAAGCUGGAAUGCCCAUUUUUAAUCAAAGCAUGAGUGGUCAGGGAAAGCUGGCUUCAGACAGGGGAACAUGAAGGAGACAUCCACAGAUAAGCACGCACAAAAGCUUAUGUGACAUCAGGAAGAGUGACAGAUGAAAUGACAAACUUUGGUGUCUUGUGGCUUGUCAGCACCCCCUCCCAGUGCUUGUGCAGCCAGGACAUAUCUCCUGCCCUUGGACUUUGUGCUCUUAUAUCCUUAUAAUUAAUUCUGCUUUUGCCUGAGCUAGUUGGGGCAGAUUUCUGUUGCCUACAACCACAUCAAUUCUGAACAAGGCAGCACAUUGGAAAGUCUCCUCCAAGUAGACACACAGGCUCAGCACCCACGGGCCCAACCCUGGCUCCUGACAUGUCCCAAAGGCCAGCUUGGCAAGGCCUGAUGUGUAGCUAUGGGAACGGGAGGUGUUCUCUACUUGUGGCAUCUUUGUGUGGUGCUUUGCGAGGGCUCCUUAAAAGUGUGCAGAAAGGGACUUCACCCAUCUCCCAGGCUUCACGGCUACUUUCCCAUAGCGGGAUGGGUGUGUCAUUUGCUGCUGGGGCUCCCUGCUUAUUCCCUGAGAGCAAGCACAUCACUGUUUACAGCGAGAGGUGUUCUCUGGGGUGGUGGCAUCUCUGCGUCAAAAUCAAGCUGUUCCUGCAGCAUCCAGCAUUCAAGGGUAGGAGUAUGUGUAGUUCUAGGCAAGUGACAGCAUGCAUGGGGUGUGAUGGGGGACAGGUGGGUGAUGGGGACCAGUCUACCCUGGAGAAGAGGCUCCAACAGUGGCCCCUUUACACGAUCCCAUGGCAAUUGCUGAGACCAUGAUGGAAACAUCGGAGGAAGCAGAAUGAACGCAAAGGUCAGUCUGUUCAAUUCAUCAUCAGUCAGAACAGGAGAUGCUUGGGAAGGAGGCACGGGAGGAGCCCCUUUGACAUGCUCACCCCACCCCCAGUGGCAGGAAAGCUCUUCCCUGGGGUUAAAAUCAUGCACUACAUUUCCAGUAAAGGCUGGAGCCGCAGAGGCACCUAGAAGGUUUGCUUUGGAGGUGCCACUAACUCAUGAGAAAGCCAGCCCAGGACAGGCUGACAGGGCCCCGCUAUGGGAAAAGAGGAUUACAAAGGAGCACAGAGAGUGUUAAAGAAGGUAAAAGCUCUUCCCUUUCCCUAAAUCUAGCCUUGAGCCUGUUAAUACCGAGACUGCACGAUUGGAGAGGGAACCAGCAGUGCUGAGGGGUGGCUGGGCGCCAUUGCCCAAGGGAAUGUCACAGACGUCAAGGCCAGAUGCUCAGCUGAGCCCUCAGAACAGCCAAGCCAGGAGGACAGUCAGGAGCAUCAUGGGCCAGGCCACCAGGAACCCUGAAACACAAGAGAGAUGGCUGUCAAAUGUCGGGCCCUGGAACUCAGCGGCAAAUGCAAGGUGCCCCCCUUGUCUUUUGCUCUACCAGGAUGAGAAAGACAGAGCAUCUUUACUGUCUGGCCUGGGCUACAGCUCCGGGAGCCGUGGAUACAAAGCUGUCUAAUCACCAACUACCUCUUUCAUUUUCCUCUGAGCACACAGGAAUGCAAUUUUUCCCAGCCUCCUUUGCAGCUCAAGCACUGGGCAAUGAGAUGUGAGUGGAGCUAUGAAGUGCCAGCUUCCAGCAAUGUUUCUGAACACUCGCUGCCUGCUCGUUCCCUCCAUCCUGCUGCUGAAGAGGCAAAGGUUGGUGCUCCGGCUGCCACCUUGGCCCAUGAAGGUGAUGGACACACCUCCAAGACAGUGGAGGUGUGAGCUGGAAGGAGCCCGGAUCUUUAAUGACAUCGUGGCGUCACCCUACUAGCCUUGGAUGGCUUCCCUCUA